UACGAGUGCCCCAAGCGUUAUCCGGAAUUAUUGGGCGUAAAGGGUGUGUAGGUGGUUUGGUUAGUCUCCUGUCAAAUCCCUCGGCUUAACCGGGGAACUGCGUCCGAUACUGGAGGGCUUGAGUGUGGGAGAGGGAUGCGGAAUUCCAGGUGUAGCGGUGAAAUGCGCAGAUAUCGGGAAGAACACCCGUGGCGAAGGCGGUUCUCUGGGACGGUACUGACGCUGAGACGCGAAAGCGUGGGGAGCGAACAGG
rnacentral:rRNA from 1 species